rnacentral:rRNA from 1 species
CACGUAGGGGGCAAGCGUUGUCCGGAUUUAUUGGGCGUAAAGAGCCCGUAGGUGGUUCGGUAAGUCGGGUGUUAAACCCCCAGGCUCAACCUGGGAACGCCACUCGAUACUGCUGUGACUAGAGUCCGGUAGGGGAGCGUGGAAUUCCUGGUGUAGCGGUGAAAUGCGCAGAUAUCAGGAGGAACACCAGCGGCGAAGGCGGCGCUCUGGGCCGGUACUGACACUGAGGAGCGAAAGCGUGGGUAGCAAACAGG